GGAGGUGUAGCUCAGUGGUAGAGCACUUACCCAGAAUAUAUGAGGUCCUGGGUUCCAACCCCCAGUACCAUAA
rnacentral:tRNA from 1 species